GCCAUCAUUUAAAGAAAGCGUAAUAGCUCACUGGUCGAGUCGGCCUGCGCGGAAGAUGUAACGGGGCUAAACCAUGCACCGAAGCUGCGGCAGCAACAUUUCGAUGUUGUUGGGUAGGGGAGCGUUCUGUAAGCCUGCGAAGGUGUGCUGUGAGGCAUGCUGGAGGUAUCAGAAGUGCGAAUGCUGACAUAAGUAACGAUAAAGCGGGUGAAAAACCCGCUCGCCGGAAGACCAAGGGUUCCUGUCCAACGUUAAUCGGGGCAGGGUGAGUCGACCCCUAAGGCGAGGCCGAAAGGCGUAGUCGAUGGGAAACGGGUUAAUAUUCCCGUACUCGGUGUUACUGCGAAGGGGGGACGGAGAAGGCUAGACCGGCCGGGCGACGGUUGUCCCGGUUCAAGCGUGUAGGUGGGAAGAAUUGGUAAAUCCGUUCUUCUGUGAACACUGAGGCGUGAUAACGAGGCACUACGGUGCUGAAGUGGUUGAUGCCCUGCUUCCAGGAAAAGCCUCUAAGCAUCAGGUAACAGUGAAUCGUACCCCAAACCGACACAGGUGGUCAGGUAGAGAAUACUCAGGCGCUUGAGAGAACUCGGGUGAAGGAACUAGGCAAAAUGGUGCCGUAACUUCGGGAGAAGGCACGCUGGCAUUAGGUGAAGGGACAUGCGCCCGGAGCCGAAGCCAGUCGCAGAUACCAGCUGGCUGCAACUGUUUAAUAAAAACACAGCACUGUGCAAACACGAAAGUGGACGUAUACGGUGUGACGCCUGCCCGGUGCUGGAAGGUUAAUUGAUGGGGUUAGCGGCAACGCGAAGCUCUUGAUCGAAGCCCCAGUAAACGGCGGC
rnacentral:rRNA from 1 species